UUUCGAAUCAUUCACAAUGGGCGAAAGCCUGAUGGUGCGACGCCGCGUGAGGGAUGAAGGCCUUCGGGUUGUAAACCUCUGUCACCGGGGAAGAAACGCUUCAAGUUAACAGCUUGAAGCCUGACUUAACCCGGAGAGGAAGCAGUGGCUAACUCUGUGCCAGCAGCCGCGGUAAUACAGAGACUGCAAGCGUUAUUCGGAUUCACUGGGCGUAAAGGGUGCGCAGGCGGCCGGGUGUGUCAGAUGUGAAAUCCCGAGGCUUAACCUCGGAACUGCGUCUGAAACUACUCGGCUAGAGUAUUGGAGAGGGUAACGGAAUUCACGGUGUAGCAGUGAAAUGCGUAGAUAUCGUGAGGAACACCAGAGGCGAAGGCGGUUACCUGGACAAUUACUGACGCUCAGGCACGAAAGCAUGGGGAGCAAAAGGGAUUAGAUACCCCCGUAGUCCCUGAGCGGGCUGGCAAGGC
rnacentral:rRNA from 1 species